UUCUGCACCAAGUGAUUUUCAUUAUGUAAAAAUCUGUAAUGCCCUAACCAAAUUGCAUAGUAUUGUCCAGUUUGGUGCACUUGGAUUUUACGAACUUGUCUUCUAAGCCUUACUAUCACUGGGGCCAAAGGCGUACUAUGCAGUUAGGUAACCCAUAUUCUUAUGUAUAUUUUUACCUUUUUCUCCUUUUUCUGAUGAGUGAAG
rnacentral:misc_RNA from 1 species